rnacentral:rRNA from 1 species
UACGGGGGGGGCAAGCGUUGUUCGGAAUUACUGGGCGUAAAGGGCUCGUAGGCGGCCAACUAAGUCAGACGUGAAAUCCCCAGGCUUAACCUGGGAACUGCGUCUGAUACUGGAUGGCUUGAAUUCGGGAGAGGGAUGCAGAAUUCCAGGUGUAGCGGUGAAAUGCGUAGAUAUCAGGAGGAACACCUGUGGUGUAGACAGCUUUCUGGACCAUUGCUGACGCUGAGACACGAAAGCGUGGGUAGCAAACAGG